CUUGUCUUCUUUUAUUUCUAUAAAGUUAUACUGUGUAGAUCCUGGUCAACCUACCAAUGUUGCUCGUAGUUAAGCCAACCUAACCCCCAGGCACAGACACGGCCAGGUCUUGGAUUACAGACUAACUGAUGGAAAAGCCCAACUGAUGGAUGAAGGGAGCAGAGAGUCUGUACUACAAUAGCAUAGCUGCAGUAGCACCCAUAGUGUGGACAUGACCUCAGUAAUUACAUAAGGUUUACAUAUGCAAACUAGACACAAUCAACUCCGGUUUGAAUAAGGACUGGGAAUGGCUGAGCCAUUACAAACAUUGAUUCUAUCUUCCCUUGUACAACAUAGCCAAUAGAAGAAUAGACUUCCACACAGGACCUUGGCAAUGUGCCUCUUUUGUGUACACAUACCUAGUGUAAUUGCCUCUUAGAAACUGAUUAUUUUCUAGCUCUAUGUCCACUCAAUGCACAGAUGAUCUUGGGAGCACAGCCUUCCUCUUUGUUAUUGGCAGCAGAAUGGCUGCGCAGAAUUAGAAAGCGGCCAAGAUGAACUAAGGAGGACUUUAUGCAUGAGGUUAUGAUGCACUCAGACGCUGAGAAAAAAUAAUUGAAGGAGUGGUGGGACAGCGAGAAGAGGGACCGAAAGGAGAACGCGGAACACCAGAAAGAAGCCACGGAGCGGCUCUUAAGAAGUUAUGGAGCACCAAGCGGACAUGCUCCAGGCGAUACUAGCUCUUCAAACUAAGCAGCUCUGCACCUGCCCUCCCCUGAAGCUGCUGUCGCAAAACUCUUUCCCAUGCGCUCCCCACACAUCGCCAAUACACUGAUAUCAACCUCCUGGCUCCACUCUCUACCCGCAGCUCCACUCCUCCCUCCUCACAGUCCAGCAGUGUGGACUCCCACUACCCACUGCACUCAAAACCCAUCCCUCUGCAGUUUGGCCUUGCUGAAGUACAGCACCCGCUGCAUCGUAUUCCAAAGGAGAAGGUUGGGUAUGAUCCUUCGACGUACACAAAUCUGUAGCCAUCCCAGGACCCCUCCUCCUCUUGAGACCUUCCCUUCCCCCAUCCCCCUCCCUGCUGAUGAUUUUUUUUCAUUUGAUUCUCUCCUCUGCUUGUUGUCUUUCAAUAAAAGAAUUGUUUGU